rnacentral:rRNA from 1 species
GGAAAAGAAAUCAACCGAGAUUCCCCCAGUAGCGGCGAGCGAACGGGGAGGAGCCCAGAGCCUGAAUCAGUGUGUGUGUUAGUGGAAGCGUCUGGAAAGGCGCGCGAUACAGGGUGACAGCCCCGUACACAAAAAUGCACAUAUUGUGAGCUCGAUGAGUAGGGCGGGACACGUGGUAUCCUGUCUGAAUAUGGGGGGACCAUCCUCCAAGGCUAAAUACUCCUGACUGACCGAUAGUGAACCAGUACCGUGAGGGAAAGGCGAAAAGAACCCCGGCGAGGGGAGUGAAAAAGAACCUGAAACCGUGUACGUACAAGCAGUGGGAGCCUCUUAAUGGGGUGACUGCGUACCUUUUGUAUAAUGGGUCAGCGACUUAUAUUCUGUAGCAAGGUUAACCGAAUAGGGGAGCCGAAGGGAAACCGAGUCUUAACUGGGCGUUAAGUUGCAGGGUAUAGACCCGAAACCCGGUGAUCUAGCCAUGGGCAGGUUGAAGGUUGGGUAACACUAACUGGAGGACCGAACCGACUAAUGUUGAAAAAUUAGCGGAUGACUUGUGGCUGGGGGUGAAAGGCCAAUCAAACCGGGAGAUAGCUGGUUCUCCCCGAAAGCUAUUUAGGUAGCGCCUCGUGAAUUCAUCUCCGGGGGUAGAGCACUGUUUCGGCAAGGGGGUCAUCCCGACUUACCAACCCGAUGCAAACUGCGAAUACCGGAGAAUGUUAUCACGGGAGACACACGGCGGGUGCUAACGUCCGUCGUGAAGAGGGAAACAACCCAGACCGCCAGCUAAGGUCCCAAAGUCAUGGUUAAGUGGGAAACGAUGUGGGAAGGCCCAGACAGCCAGGAUGUUGGCUUAGAAGCAGCCAUCAUUUAAAGAAAGCGUAAUAGCUCACUGGUCGAGUCGGCCUGCGCGGAAGAUGUAACGGGGCUAAACCAUGCACCGAAGCUGCGGCAGCGACACUAUGUGUUGUUGGGUAGGGGAGCG